UACGGGGGGAGCAAGCGUUGUUCGGAUUUACUGGGCGUAAAGAGCGCGCAGGCGGUCGUUCAAGUCGAGUGUGAAAGCCCCCGGCUCAACUGGGGAGGGUCAUUCGAUACUGAUCGACUUGAAGGCAGGAGAGGGAAGCGGAAUUCCCGGUGUAGUGGUGAAAUGCGUAGAUAUCGGGAGGAACACCAGUGGCGAAGGCGGCUUCCUGGCCUGUUCUUGACGCUGAGGCGCGAAAGCUAGGGGAGCAAACGGG
rnacentral:rRNA from 1 species